AAACCAUACAUCAGGCAUUUUGUAAUUAAUUCCUUGAAUCAGUCCCAAGCUUCAUACAAUGUCUCAUCCUCAUAUUGCUGAAAAGAUGUAAUAUCAUUCCUUAAUUU
rfam:Gossypium arboreum cultivar AKA8401 contig_69300_1, whole genome shotgun sequence.